GUGGCUCAGUGGAAGAGCAUCUGCUUGGCGUGUGGAAGGUUCCAGGUUCUAGUCCAGGGGUGGCCA
rnacentral:tRNA from 1 species